rnacentral:rRNA from 1 species
UACGUAGGGGGCAAGCGUUGUCCGGAUUUAUUGGGCGUAAAGAGCGUGUAGGCGGCUAGGUAGGUCCGUUGUGAAAACUCGAGGCUCAACCUCCGAGACGCCGGUGGAAACCAUCUAGCUAGAGUCCGGAAGAGGAGAGUGGAAUUCCUGGUGUAGCGGUGAAAUGCGCAGAUAUCAGGAAGAACACCUAUGGCGAAGGCAGCACUCUGGUACGUGACUGACGCUGAGACGCGAAAGCGUGGGGAGCGAACAGG